rnacentral:rRNA from 1 species
AUUGAACGCUGGCGGCAGGCCUAACACAUGCAAGUCGAACGAGUGGCGGACGGGUGAGUAAUGUCUGGGAAACUGCCUGAUGGAGGGGGAUAACUACGGGAAACGGUAGAUAAUACCGCAUACCAUCGGAUGUUCCCAGAUGGGAUUAGCUAUGAGGUGAGGUAACGGACCACCGAGGCGACGAUCCAUAGCUGGUCUGAGAGGAUGACCAGCCACAGUGGAACCGAGACACGGUCCAGACGCCGACGGGAGGCAGCAGUGGGGAAUAUUGCACAAUGGGCGCAAGCCUGAUGCAGCCAUGCCGCGUGUAUGAAGAAGGCCUGCGGGUUGUAAAGUACUUUCAGCGGGGAGGCGUUACCCGCAGAAGAAGCACCGGCUAACUCCGUGCCAGCAGCCGCGGAAAUA